GCGCACGGGUGAGUAACGCGUGGGAACCUGCCUUUCUCUGCGGGACAACGGUUGGAAACGACCGCUAAUACCGCAUACGCCCUACGGGGGAAAGGUCAGCCGGAGAAAGAGGGGCCCGCGUUAGAUUAGCUAGUUGGUGGGGUAAUGGCCUACCAAGGCGACGAUCUAUAGCUGGUCUGAGAGGAUGAUCAGCCACACUGGGACUGAGACACGGCCCAGACUCCUACGGGAGGCAGCAGUGGGGAAUAUUGGACAAUGGGGGCAACCCUGAUCCAGCAAUGCCGCGUGUGUGAUGAAGGCCCUAGGGUUGUAAAGCACUUUCACUGGUGAAGAUGAU
rnacentral:rRNA from 1 species